rnacentral:rRNA from 1 species
GAGUUUGAUCAUGGCUCAGAUUGAACGCUGGCGGCAGGCCUAACACAUGCAAGUCGAGCGGUAGCACAAGAGAGCUUGCUCUCUGGGUGACGAGCGGCGGACGGGUGAGUAAUGUCUGGGAAACUGCCUGAUGGCGGGGGAUAACUAGUGGAAACGGUAGCUAAUACCGCAUAACGUCGCAAGACCAAAGUGGGGGCCCUUCGGGCCUCACGCCAUCAGAUGUGCCCAGGUGGGAUUAGCUGGUAGGUGAGGUAACGGCUCACCUAGGCGACGAUCCCUAGCUGGUCUGAGAGGAUGACCAGCCACACUGGAACUGAGACACGGUCCAGACUCCUACGGGAGGCAGCAGUGGGGAAUAUUGCACAAUGGGCGCAAGCCUGAUGCAGCCAUGCCGCGUGUGUGAAGAAGGCCUUCGGGUUGUAAAGCACUUUCAGCGAGGAGGAAGGGUAAUGUGUUAAUAAGACAUUGCA